CCUACGGGGGGCAGCAGUGGGGAAUAUUGGACAAUGGGCGAAAGCCUGAUCCAGCCAUGCCGCGUGUGUGAAGAAGGCCUUCGGGUUGUAAAGCACUUUCAGUGGGGAAGAAAGCCUUGGGGCUAAUACCCUCGAGGAAGGACAUCACCCACAGAAGAAGCACCGGCUAACUCCGUGCCAGCAGCCGCGGUAAUACGGAGGGUGCGAGCGUUAAUCGGAAUUACUGGGCGUAAAGCGCGCGUAGGCGGUCUGAUAAGCCGGUUGUGAAAGCCCCGGGCUCAACCUGGGAACGGCAUCCGGAACUGUCAGGCUAGAGUGCAGGAGAGGAAGGUAGAAUUCCCGGUGUAGCGGUGAAAUGCGUAGAGAUCGGGAGGAAUACCAGUGGCGAAGGCGGCCUUCUGGACUGACACUGACGCUAAGGUGCGAAAGCGUGGGUAGCAAACAGGAUUAGAUACCCGAGUAGUC
rnacentral:rRNA from 1 species